rnacentral:rRNA from 1 species
AGAGGGUGCGAGCGUUAAUCGGAAUUACUGGGCGUAAAGGGCGCGUAGGUUGAUGUUUAAGUUGGAUGUGAAAGCCCCGGGCUCAACCUGGGAAGGUCAUCCAAAACUGGGCAACUAGAGUACGGUAGAGGGAAGUGGAAUUUCCGGUGUAGCGGUGAAAUGCGUAGAGAUCGGAAGGAACACCAGUGGCGAAGGCGGCUUCCUGGACUGAUACUGACACUGAGGCGCGAAAGCGUGGGGAGCAAACAGGAUUAGAUACCCUGGUAGUCCACGCCGUAAACGAUGAGAACUAGCUGUUGGGGAAACUAUUUCUUAGUGGCGCAGCAAACGCGAUAAGUUCUCCGCCUGGGGAGUACGGCCGCAAGGUUA